rnacentral:rRNA from 1 species
AACGAACGCUGGCGGCAUGCCUAACACAUGCAAGUCGAACGAGACCUUCGGGUCUAGUGGCGCACGGGUGCGUAACGCGUGGGAACCUGCCCUUAGGUUCGGAAUAACUCCCCGAAAGGGGUGCUAAUACCGGAUAAUUUCUUCGGACCAAAGAUUUAUCGCCUUUGGAUGGGCCCGCGUUGGAUUAGCUAGUUGGUAGGGUAAAAGCCUACCAAGGCGACGAUCCAUAGCUGGUCUGAGAGGAUGAUCAGCCACACUGGGACUGAGACACGGCCCAGACUCCUACGGGAGGCAGCAGUGGGGAAUAUUGGACAAUGGGCGAAAGCAUGAUCCAGCAAUGCCGCGUGAGUGAUGAAGGCCUUAGGGUUGUAAAGCUCUUUUACCCGGAAUGAUAAUGACAGUACCGGGAGAAUAAGCACCGGCUAACUCCGUG